rnacentral:rRNA from 1 species
GAUGAACGCUGGCGGCGUGCCUAAUACAUGCAAGUCGAGCGAACAGAUGAGGAGCUUGCUCCUCUGACGUUAGCGGCGGACGGGUGAGUAACACGUGGAUAACCUACCUAUAAGACUGGGAUAACUUCGGGAAACCGGAGCUAAUACCGGAUAAUAUAUUGAACCGCAUGGUUCAAUAGUGAAAGACGGUUUUGCUGUCACUUAUAGAUGGAUCCGCGCCGCAUUAGCUAGUUGGUAAGGUAACGGCUUACCAAGGCAACGAUGCGUAGCCGACCUGAGAGGGUGAUGGGCCACUCAGGAACUGAGACACGGUACAGACUCCUACGGGAGGCAGCAGUAGGGAAUCGUCCGAAAUGGGCGAAAGCCUGCCGGAGCAACGCCGGGUGAGUGAUGAAGGUCUUCGGAGCGUAAAACUCUGUUAUUAGGGAAGAACAAAUGUGUAAGUAACUAUGCACGUCUUGACGGUACCUAAUCAGAAAGCCACGGCUAACUACGUG